UUCCCCCACUGCUCUUCUUAACAUUUCACAUGGCUAACAUUUGCUGUGUGGAAUUUGGUUAUUUAUCAUUUUUAAGAAACCACGCUGCAAAAAAAAAAAAGAAAAUUAAGCUUUAAUGCAAGACGUUAGCUAGCUAGCCAACUAAACUCAAGCUAACUCGAAGGCCAUGUUUAUCAAUUAAGUCUCACUGUUUAACUUUAAAACGCUCACAUUGAGGAUGUAGUCUGCUAGUUGUCAAAGGUUCACUAGCUAAUUAGGUUAAUUAGGUGUGUUCUGAACCCACAUUGCAUUCAGCGCAUUCAGCAAUGUGUAACCAAGAUGCGUCCGGAAAAUACUUGUAUAACUAAAUACAGAGAAUUUGUUUAAAACAUUUUUUUACCAGACAACGUGUACGGAGUGCUAUGCAGCAGUGAGAACAGUGUCGAGAAGCACCUGGAGAUGGGGAAGAAGCUCCUGGCUGCCGGACAGCUGGCCGACGCACUUUCCCAUUUCCACGCAGCUGUUGGUGAGUCGGUGAGCUUUUCUCAGAAAGUCACCAGCAAUCAUUUCUUUAUUUCUGCAAAAAAAAAUAUUCUGUCUGAAUCUUAACCGACCACUUUCUGACAUCCGUGUGUAGACGGUGACCCGAAAAAAUACUUGGCCUACUACAGAAGAGCCACCGUCUACCUGGCCACGGACAAGUCUAAAUCCGCUUUACCGGAUCUAAGCAAAGUCAUCGAGUGUCAUGAUUCCCCCUUGAAGCAGCGUGCUCUAAGCGCGAAUGCGCGAGCACCUGCUUUUCCAUUGUUGACAGUAGUGACAUCUGGACACGUGUGUUUUGUUUAUGUUUCUGUCACGUCUCCUCCCUGUUCUGUCAUUGGCUGGGAUUUCACGUGUGUCUGUAUUUUGCCCUCAGCAAGUUUAGAGGCUGAUCAGUUUAGACGCUGAUCAUGUCCACAUAUAUACCGCGCGCCUCCCAGCACACAACGCGGAAGAUUAUCCUAGAGUUAGAUUGGUUUGUUUAGUAGUCAUAGUCACGGUCCAUGUUUAGAGUUCGUUCACGCUGGAUUAUCCGCUCCCAGUUCCUCGUCAUAGUUGAUGUUUCUCGUUUAGUUUAUCGACCCUGUUUUCCGUGACACGACCUUGAUUCAUGUUUAACCCUGUGUAUGCCUGUUUGCCGAUCGCCUGACCUUCGCCUGUUUUGGAUCACGUUUUGGAUUUGUCUGCCUGUCUCUCUUUUAAAAUAAACAACUGUUCAUACUGCAAUUGCAUCCGUCUUAUCUCCGCUCCGUCACGAUACGUGACAUCGAGUUAAACCUGAUUUCACAUCGGAUAGCCCAGAAGAAGCUCAUUAAAGCCUACAGGGAGUUCUCACAGCAGUGACACCCAGACAACGUCCAGGAUCCUGAAGAGAAGAACAAGGCUGAGAAGAAGUUCAUAGACAUCCCACAGGCCAAGGAAGUGCUCACUGAGCCAGAAACGAGGAGUUCAUUUGACAAGGGUGAAGUCCCAAUGGACCCUGAGAGCAAGCACGGAGAAGGCCAUCACCAUUUCCACGGGGCCUGGGAGAGUUUCCAGGGCUUUAACCCUAUUGGCUCUGGACUGUUCAACUUUAAAUUCAACUUUAACUAAGAUCAUCCAGGAGGACAUCAGUCUGAUCUGAAUAUAUAGCAUCAGGCAUGCAGCGAGAAGUGUAACCUGUUGAACCUGUUUGACACUAACUGCCAUAGAUGUGGCUACAGAAGCCACUGUGGCAUGAAGAUGCAUCAUAUGCUGUUGAAUAUUCUCAGACUUGCCAAGCUGAGCUAAGUGGUAUUAUAUAAAGUAAUUAUUUCAGGGACCAUCAGAGUGUGGGGGUUCAUUCCCAAGCAACCAACUAUCCUAAAACUAUUGUGUGUGUGUGUGUGUGUGUGUGUGUGUGUGUGUGUGUGUGUGUGUGUGUGUGUGUGUGUGUGUGUGUGUGUGUGUGUAUAGGAGACUGCACUAUUUUUCUAUCAGUUAAAUAAUGCUGCAUUGUAAAUACACAAUUAAAGAUAUUACGUAUUUAAUUAAAAAGAAAGUGACAUUAUUCUCCGA